UGGGCGCAAGCCUGAUCCAGCAAUGCCGCGUGCAGGAUGAAGGCCUUCGGGUUGUAAACUGCUUUUGUACGGAACGAAAAGCUUUGGGCUAAUACCCUGGAGUCAUGACGGUACCGUAAGAAUAAGCACCGGCUAACUACGUGCCAGCAGCCGCGGUAAUACGUAGGGUGCAAGCGUUAAUCGGAAUUACUGGGCGUAAAGCGUGCGCAGGCGGUUUUGUAAGACAGGCGUGAAAUCCCCGGGCUCAACCUGGGAAUGGCGCUUGUGACUGCAAAGCUGGAGUGCGGCAGAGGGGGAUGGAAUUCCGCGUGUAGCAGUGAAAUGCGUAGAUAUGCGGAGGAACACCGAUGGCGAAGGCAAUCCCCUGGGCCUGUACUGACGCUCAUGCACGAAAGCGUGGGGAGCAAACAGGAUUAGAUACCCUGGUAGUCCACGCCCUAAACGAUGUCAACUGGUUGUUGGGUCUUAACUGACUCAGUAACGAAGCUAACGCGUGAAGUUGACCGCCUGGGGAGUACG
rnacentral:rRNA from 1 species